rnacentral:rRNA from 1 species
GACAGAGGGUGCAAACGUUGUUCGGAAUUACUGGGCGUAAAGCGCGUGUAGGCGGCCCUGUAAGUCGGGUGUGAAAUCCCACGGCUCAACCGUGGAAGUGCAUUCGAAACUACAGGGCUAGAGUUCUGGAGAGGAAGGUGGAAUGCUUGGUGUAGAGGUGAAAUUCGUAGAUAUCAAGCGGAACACCGGUGGCGAAGGCGGCCCUCUGGACAGUAACUGACGCUGAGACGCGAAAGCGUGGGGAGCAAACAGG